rnacentral:rRNA from 1 species
AUGAGCGCGUUCGCCUCCGCAUUGCCUGCCAACUCCACCUCCAUGGCGCUAGCCGGCGCCGCCAACGCCACCUUCCGGCCCCGCCUGGUCACCGCCGCCGCUGACACCUCCGACACUAAUACUCGCCGCCGACACUGGAAGGCCGGCGAGUUCCCAUUCCCCACCACCUCCCCCUCCUCCGGCACGCAGCAGCGCCGGAGACCCCGGACCACGGAGCGCCCGCCCCCACCUCCACCGUCCAAGGGGGAAGACCCGGAGGGGAGAGGGCGCCAGAGGCACUGGAAGGCGGGGGAGGACCCGGAGGGGGGAGGGCGCCAGAGGCACUGGAGGGCGGGGGAGUUCCCGGCGGCGGCCGAGUCCCAAUCCCAGUCCGGGAGGAGGGGCCGCGCUCGCACCCCUAUCAAGAACGUCCAGAAGAGGCUCGACGCGCGCGCCGAUGCCAAGGCCUGGGCCUGCACAGUCACCGAGGCCCUCGCCGACCGCAUCGCCGCCAAGAACUGGCGGGAGGCGCUUCAGGUCUUCGAGAUGCUCAAGGAGCAAACUUUCUACUAUCCCAAAGAGGGCACCUACAUGAAACUCCUCCUGUUGCUGGGGAGAUCAGGCCAGCCUUCUCUAGCACAAGACCUUUUCACCGAGAUGCAGCAGCAAGGAUGCCAGCCAACUCCCGAGCUUUACACGGCCUUGAUCGGGGCCUACUGCCGGAACGGCCUCCUAGACGAGGCACUCAAGCUUCUCGAAGACAUGAAGGCCGCCCCGCUGUGCCAGCCUGAUGUCUACACUUAUAGCAUCCUCAUCAAGGCCUUCGUCGACGCCUCAAGGUUCGACCUCGUCGAUGCUAUGUACAAAGAGAUGGCUGAGCGCUCCGUGACACCCAACACGGUCACGCAGAACAUUGUUCUCAGUGGCUACUGCAGAGCAGGAAGGCUGGACGAUAUGGAGAAGCUACUCUCUGCGAUGCUCGAAAGUGCAAAUUGUAAACCGGAUGUCUGGACCAUGAACAUUAUCCUAAGCCUGUUUGGGAACAGUGGCCAGGUUGAGCUGAUGGAGAAGUGGUACGAGAAAUUCCGAGGCUAUGGGAUCGAGCCAGAGACUCGGACGUUCAACAUUCUCAUUGGUGCUUACGGGAAGAAGCGGAUGUAUGACAAGAUGUCUGCGGUGAUGGAAUACAUGCGCAGGCUAGCAUUUCCAUGGACGACUGCUACAUACAACAAUGUGAUCGAGGCAUUUGCUGUGGCAGGUGAUGCCAAAAACAUGGAGGACACAUUUAACCAGAUGCGCUCAGAGGGGAUGAAGCCAGAUACAAAGACCUUCUGUUGUCUAAUAAACGGGUUCAGCAAUGCAGCCCUUUUCCACAAGGUGGUAGGCAUGGUAAAGCUUGCUGAGAGGCUCGAUGUACCGGCGAAUACGUCUUUCCACAACUCUGUUCUUGCGGCAUGUGCGAAAGCGGAGGAUCUGAUGGAAAUGGAGAGGGUCUUCAGGCACAUGAAGCAUAUGCAGUGUGAAGCAGAUGCCAUCACAUACUCCAUCUUGUUGGAAGCUUAUCGGAAGGAAGGAAUGACCGACAAGAUGUAUGCUCUGCAACAGGAGAACCCAAGUUUGGUUUCGACUGAGCUUGUCAUGGUGUAA